GAUGAACGCUGGCGGCGUGCCUAACACAUGCAAGUCGAGCGGCAGCGAGGGGUGCUUGCACCCUGUCGGCGAGCGGCGGACGGCUGAGUCACGCGUGGGAACGUGCCCCAAAGUGAGGAAUAACUGCCCGAAAGGGUAGCUAAUACCGCAUAUUAUCUCCGGUUCAAAGGAUUUGUUCGCUUUGGGAGCGGCUCGCGUCAGAUUUGGUAGUUGGUGAGGUUAUGGCUGACCAAGCCGACGACCCGUGGCUGGGCGGAGAGGAUGACCAACCAGACUGGAACUGAGACACGGUCCAGUCUCCGACGGGAGGCAGCAGUGAGGAAUCUUACACAAUGGGCGAAAGCCUAAUGGAGCAACGCCGCGUGCAGGACGAAGGCCUUCGGAUUGUAAACUGCUUUUAUAAGUGAGGAAUAUGACGGUAACUUAUGAAUAAGGAUCGGCUAACUACGUG
rnacentral:rRNA from 1 species